GAUGAACGCUGGCGGCGUGCCUAAUACAUGCAAGUCGAGCGAACGGACGAGAAGCUUGCUUUUCUGAUGUUAGCGGCGGACGGGUGAGUAACACGUGGAUAACCUACCUAUAAGACUGGGAUAACUUCGGGAAACCGGAGCUAAUACCGGAUAAUAUUUUGAACCGCAUGGGUCAAAAGUGAAAGACGGUCUUGCUGUCACUUAUAGAUGGAUCUGCGCUGCAUUAGCUAGUUGGUAAGGUAACGGCUUACGAAGGCAGCGAUGCAUAGCCGACCUGAGAGGGUGGUCGGCCACCCUGGAACUGAGACACGGUACAGAGGCCUACGGGAGGCACCAGUAGGGAAUCUUGCGCAAUGGGCGAAAACCUGACGGAGCAACGCCGCGUGGGUGAUGAAGGUCUUCGGAUCGUAAAACUCUGUUAUUAGGGAAGAACAUAUGUGUAAGUAACAGUGCACAUCUUGACGGUACCUAAGCAGAGAGCCACGGCUAACUACGUG
rnacentral:rRNA from 1 species